UACGAAGGGGGCUAGCGUUGUUCGGAAUUACUGGGCGUAAAGCGCGCGUAGGCGGACCUGCAAGUCGGGGGUGAAAGCCCGAGGCUCAACCUCGGAACUGCCUUCGAUACUGCGGGUCUCGAGUCCGGGAGAGGUGAGUGGAAUUCCUAGUGUAGAGGUGAAAUUCGUAGAUAUUAGGAAGAACACCAGUGGCGAAGGCGGCGCACUGGCCCGGUACUGACGCUGAGGCGCGAAAGCGUGGGGAGCAAACAGG
rnacentral:rRNA from 1 species